rnacentral:rRNA from 1 species
AGUAAAUAGAUACCCAGGUAGUCCACGCCGUAAACGAUGUCGACUUGGAGGUUGUGCCCUUGAGGCGUGGCUUCCGGAGCUAAACGCGUUAAGUCGACCGCCUGGGGAGUACGGCCGCAAGGUUAAAACUCAAAUGAAUUGACGGGGGCCCGCACAAGCGGUGGAGCAUGUGGUUUAAUUCGAUGCAACGCGAAGAACCUUACCUACUCUUGACAUCCAGAGAACUUAGCAGAGAUGCUUUGGUGCCUUCGGGAACUCUGAGACAGGUGCUGCAUGGCUGUCGUCAGCUCGUGUUGUGAAAUGUUGGGUUAAGUCCCGCAACGAGCGCAACCCUUAUCCUUUGUUGCCAGCGGUCCGGCCGGGAACUCAAAGGAGACUGCCAGUGAUAAACUGGAGGAAGGUGGGGAUGACGUCAAGUCAUCAUGGCCCUUACGAGUAGGGCUACACACGUGCUACAAUGGCGCAUACAAAGAGAAGCGACCUCGCGAGAGCAAGCGGACCUCAUAAA